rnacentral:rRNA from 1 species
AUUGAACGCUGGCGGCAUGCCUUACACAUGCAAGUCGAACGGUAACAGGUCUUCGGAUGCUGACGAGUGGCGCACGGGUGAGUAAUACAUCGGAACGUGCCCGAUCGUGGGGGGUAACGAAGCGAAAGCUUUGCUAAUACCGCAUACGAUCUACGGAUGAAAGCAGGGGACCGCAAGGCCUUGCGCGAACGGAGCGGCCGAUGGCAGAUUAGGUAGUUGGUGGGAUAAAAGCUUACCAAGCCGACGAUCUGUAGCUGGUCUGAGAGGACGACCAGCCACACUGGGACUGAGACACGGCCCAGACUCCUACGGGAGGCAGCAGUGGGGAAUUUUGGACAAAGGGCGAAAGCCUGAUCCAGCCAUGCCGCGUGCAGGAUGAAGGCCUUCGGGUUGUAAACUGCUUUUGUACGGAACGAAAAGACUCUGGUUAAUACCUGGGGUCCAUGACGGUACCGUAAGAAUAAGCACCGGCUAACUACGUG